rnacentral:lncRNA from 1 species
AAGACUUACUGUUAAACCCUACAAGAUUGGGGGUCUAGAAUAACAAGCACGAGGCAUGGGGGACAUGCCCUCGGAAAGUUCCACUCCUUACUCUUGGGCCUCUGUUCCACUUCCUUGUUUCUGGGGCGGGGACCUGAAGAGCCCCUUGGAACCUUCUCCUGCUGCCGGGGAAGGUUCCCUGGAGUGUGCUGGCUUCUUAUGGCUCCUAGGGCACAUGACACCAACUGCUGGGAGUGUUGAUUUCAUUUAGGGUCCCAGGAUGGAAGGCACCUAUCCCUUUUGUGAUUAGGCAGCCAAACGCACAUAAAGAUUAUUACAAGUGCAGGGAGAGCAGCCCAUGUGGAGUCAGAGUUGUGGCGAGGGCCACAGACUUCCGUCCGGGGGAGUUCAAACUGGUGGCUUAAAGCAAGCAGGCC